AUGGCUGGGAUCACCAGCACCUUCCCCUUCAAACUCAUCCACAGCACAACCUCCUCAACCUCACCCUAUCUUCUCUCUCCUCUCUCUUCCUCUGAUUCUAAACUUUUCGGCUUUCGACUUUCCAAUCCCAAUUCCCUCAAGCUCGAUCCUCCGGUUUCUAUCUCCUUCGCUCCCGUCACUGCCCGUUAUGGCGGCGGCGAUUCCAGGAGGUACCGGAACAACUCCGACGACGAGCAAGUCCUCGAUUUGGAUAAUAUUAGGUCAGACACUGUGAGGCUUAUUGAUGAGAAUCAAAAUAUGAUUGGUGUAGUUUCCACGAGUCAGGCCAUUCAAAUGGCUGAAGAUGCCGAACUUGACUUGGUAAUAGUAUCCCCAGAUGCAGAUCCCCCGGUCGUUAGAAUAAUAGAUUUCAAUAAAUAUAGAUAUGAGCAACAAAAGAAAAAAAGAGGCCAGCAGAAGAAAAGUGCCGCUAAUCGAAUGGAUUUGAAGGAGCUCAAGAUGGGAUACAACAUAGAUCAACAUGAUUAUUCUGUCCGCUUGAAAGCUGCACAGAAGUUUUUGAAAGAUGGUGACAAGGUUAAGGUCAUAGUAAACCUCAAGGGCCGUGAAAAUGAAUUUAGGAACAUUGCUAUUGAGCUUAUUAGGCGCUUCCAGAAUGAUGUUGGGGAGCUCGCAGCAGAGGAAUCUAAAAACUUCCGUGACAGAAACAUAUUCAUAGUUUUGGUUCCAAAUAAAGCUGUUCUACAAAAAGCACAAGAACCACCCAAGAAAAAAGACAAAUCAGCAGCAGAUGAAGUCUCUGCUAGUGUCCAAGCCUAGCUGAAAACAAGUGAACUUCUUGUGGUAGAAUAGGUUGUGGGUAACUUAUAUUCUUCUUCUAGGCUGGGCUCUCUCAUCUCCUUACCCAGUAUGAAAUUUCAAGUUGCUGAAAGGGUCCCACUAACCAAGCUUUUGUCAAAACGGUCACACGUGGCUAAUAGGUGCUGUAUCUUCAAAAACUCCCUAACUACAGCUCACCGAUGCAAUUAGCUUUUUCUUGGAAGUUUGCUUGCAAAGUCUAGAAUCAUAUUGGGAAAAUUAAACUAAACGUGAAAAUUUCUAGUGUCUUUUUUUUUUAAUAAUUAUUUGGUAUUUAAUGCUACCGAUGGACUAAUCCAUAUUUGAGAAAUAUUGGGUUCAAAUGGAGGUAAUUUUUUUUUAACAUGGUUUUUUCCAUUUAUAAGGUUUGGAUUCUUAAUCUUGUAUGAAAGAUGUUGAAGCGUUGGCCCAAAAAAAUGAGAGAGGUUGAAGCCCUCUCAAGUCGUCAUUGUUUCUGAAGGUUUUUAGUUUUUACUAUCA